AGAGAUGUGCCAUGGCCCAGUGGCAGAGCAUCUGUUUCGCAUGCGGAAGGUCCCGGGUUCAAGCCCCGGCAUCUCCA
rnacentral:tRNA from 1 species